GCGGGCUUAGCUCAGUUGGUAGAGCACCAGAUUGUGAUUCUGUUGGUCAUGGGUUCGAAUCCUAUAGUCCGCC
rfam:Fonticula alba strain ATCC 38817 mitochondrial scaffold supercont2.211, whole genome shotgun sequence.